UGACAGCAUUCUAGUUAAUGUAACUAUGGUUGUACUUCAUAGGUCUUCAUUAAACUGAUAUAGUUACAUGUUAUCUAUACACCCUCAAAAAAGAGCUUCUUAAAACUUAAAGGAUUAUUGAAAUGAAUUUAACCUACUGAGGAUUUCCAGUUGGUCCAAGGUUAAUAUUCUGUGAGGUAGAGUGUAGCUGUUUGGAUAGAGA